rnacentral:rRNA from 1 species
GCUUGUCUCAAAGAUUAAGCCAUGCAUGUCUUAGUGUAAAUAACUCUUAUGAAACUGCGAAUGGCUCAUUAAAUCAGUUAUCGUUUAUUUGAUGGUCCCUUACUACAUGGAUAACCGUAGUAAUUCUAGAGCUAAUACAUGCAAAAAGCCUGGACUUCUGGAACAGGCGUAUUUAUUAGAUAUACAAACCAACCGCUUCGGCGACCUUGGGUGACUCAUAAUAACUCCUCGAAUCGCAUGGCCUUGCGCCGGCGAUGUUUCAUUCAAAUUUCUGCCCUAUCAAUUUGAUGGUAGGAUAGAGGCCUACCAUGGUGGUAACGGGUGACGGAGAAUUAGGGUUCGAUUCCGGAGAGGGAGCCUGAGAAACGGCUACCACAUCCAAGGAAGGCAGCAGG